rnacentral:tRNA from 1 species
GCUCUAGUGGCACAAAUGGUUAGCGUGUGGUACUUAUACAGCAGUGCUUAGCGGGGCGAUGCCGAGGUUGUGAGUUCGAGCCUCACCUAGAGUA